AACGAACGCUGGCGGCAUGCCUAACACAUGCCGGUCGAACGAGACCUUCGGGUCUAGUGGCGCACGGGUGCGUAACGCGUGGGAACCUGCCCUUAGGUUCGGAAUAACUCCCCGAAAGGGGUGCUAAUACCGGAUAAUGUCUUCGGACCAAAGAUUUAUCGCCUUUGGAUGGGCCCGCGUUGGAUUAGCUAGUUGGCAGGGUAAAAGCCUACCAAGGCGACGAUCCAUAGCUGGUCUGAGAGGAUGAUCAGCCACACUGGGACUGAGACACGGCCCAGACUCCUACGGGAGGCAGCAGUGGGGAAUAUUGGACAAUGGGCGAAAGCCUGAUCCAGCAAUGCCGCGUGAGUGAUGAAGGCCUUAGGGUUGUAAAGCUCUUUUACCCGGGAUGAUAAUGACAGUACCGGGAGAAUAAGCUCCGGCUAACUCCGUG
rnacentral:rRNA from 1 species